UUCUGGCUCAGGAUGAACGCUGGCGGCGUGCUUAACACAUGCAAGUUGUGCGGUGAUCUCAAGAAGUUUCGGACGGAAAGGGAGAGCAGCAGCGGACGGGUGAGUAAAGCACAAGGACUUGUCCCGAAGAGGGGGACAACUGUGGGAAACCACAGCUAAUACCCCAUAAGCCGAGAGGUGAAAGCAGUAAUGCGCUUUAGGAGAGACUUGUGUCCUAUCAGGUAGUUGGUGAGGUAACGGCUCACCAAGCCGAAGACGGGUAGCCGGACUGGGAGGUUGUACGGCCACAUUGGAACUGAGAGACGGUCCAGACUCCUACGGGAGGCAGCAGUGGGGAAUAUUGGGCAAUGGGGGCAACCCUGACCCAGCGACGCCGCGUGAGGGAAGACAGCCUUCGGGUUGUAAACCUCUGUUGCAGGGGAAGAAGAAAGUGACGGUACCCUGCGAGGAAGCUCCGGCAAACUACGUGCCAGCCGCCGC
rnacentral:rRNA from 1 species